GUCUGUGUUGUAAUUGUUGGGAUUUUUCCUGCAAGAAAAGUUAAAGAUUUCCACGCUAGAACACACAUUUCGCUUUGUACUUGAAUAUUUAUGUAUAAAGUGAAAUAAAACUAGUCUCGAGGAGUGAGUUACAGAGAUUUUGGCUCACAUGAAUAACGUUAACGUUACCAUAACGCGCGAGACUCGCUCAAGCUGUAGCAUGAAACUACAAAGUAAAAGUAAAAGCAACCUGGACCCUUGAGAUACACGCAUGUUUGGUGAUGGAAGGAUGGCUGGUGGUGUUAGUUUGUGUGCUGUUCUCAAGGCAACCGUCUGAAGUUCAUGCAUUCACACGAAAGGCGCUGUUUUUGCACUGGAAGACAGUUUUUAAAUUUUCAGGGUCAUGUUAAAUCCCCUCGAUGACACUUGUGUGGACAUUAUGCAGCCUGUCCAUAAAAACAUUUAUAAAUGGUCAGCCAUGAGAGAUGACAUCAAUAUCAGUGUGGAGGUGCGGGUGGUAUAGAAGCUCAAGGUGGAAUAAAAGAGAGCGAUUAAUAGCCAGGUUAAUGGAGCGGAACAGAGGUGGUACCACUGCAGGGUUUCUGGUGUGGACACCAGCCCCAGCGUACUCCUCUCCCUCAAGCCCAGAUGAGUUGGACUUCAGCUGGGAUGAAGAACCGGAUGAGGACUUUCAAAGCCAGAUGAAUGAGAAUGGCAUCAUUGGUCUGGCAGAGAGUCAAGGGCAGCAGGAGGGAGAAGAGGAGGAGAUUGCAGAAGACCUGUUGUGGGAUGUGAAGACCCCUGAGCCUGAGCAUGGGCCACCGCCUGCACUAGAGGAGAUAAGCUGUCACCUGAGUGAGCUGCUGGACUCUGAGCCGCUCUCUCAGGCCACUGGAGAUGACUGCUGCUCUCCAUCUCUGCAGGAAGAACACAAAACAGAUGAUGACCGAAGUGUUUUGUUGGAGGAUUGGACUGAUGAUGAGGACGGUACAAGGAGCCCAACAAUUCACAGGCACAUAUUAAACCCUUUCCCACAGAGAGACACAGUGCUAGACAUGAUCGAUGAGGAAACAAAAGAGAAGGACACAUGUGAAGAUGCUCAGAGAUUCAUGGAUCAAACAUUACCUGUCACAAAAGAGAUGGCAUCUAUGUUUGAAAGGAUGAAGAGCUGUGAUUACAGUGAGAUCCCACAGCAUUUUGAGCAAAGUGAUUGUGAGGAAACUGAGGAAACCAAUGGACAGUUUCUUCCAGUCUCACAUCGCAUCUCUAGAAACACUUGUAAUCCCAUCAGGUUUCCCUAUUUGUCCUCCGGGGAACUGAUGAAUAACUGUGGGAUUGAAGCUGAAACAUUUCCAGCACAGUACCAGAGGAGUUACACUGCCCCCAGCAGGCCAGCACACUGAUGCAGCUGCUACAGGUG
rnacentral:lncRNA from 12 species